CAGUAGCCGCGGGAACACGAAGGGUGCAAGCGUUAAUCGGAAUUACUGGGCGUAAAGCGUGCGCAGGCGGUUUGUUAAGACAGAUGUGAAAUCCCCGGGCUCAACCUGGGAACCGCAUUUGUGACUGGCAAGCUAGAGUGUGGCAGAGGGGGGUGGAAUUCCGCGUGUAGCAGUGAAAUGCGUAGAUAUGCGGAGGAACACCGAUGGCGAAGGCAGCCCCCUGGGCCAACACUGACGCUCAUGCACGAAAGCGUGGGGAGCAAACAGGAUUAGAUACCCGGGUAGUCCCUGUCUCUUAGAC
rnacentral:rRNA from 1 species